rnacentral:lncRNA from 1 species
GGGACCAAAUUGUUGUCCAUGUCUGUACCAAUCAACCCAUUGUUGUUGCUCGAACUGCCAUUCUCUAAAAAAGCAGCCUUCUUUCUCCUGUAAGGCCUCUGCUUAGUUCUGCCCUCUUGCACGACUACAUCAGUACUCUCCGGCGAGGUGAAACCGUUGUUGGCAUCAGACUGAACCACCAUCAUCAUCGGCUCAGCUUCACAAGGAGGCAAAGCAGGCAAAGACUCAGGCUCAGCUGAGGUGGAAUGGCGUCUCUUCCUCUGACGUCUCACGGUUCCUUCGAUGCACUGCCGCAAGAAGAGCCUAACAUCUUCCGGGACUUGGUCGCAGAUCACGCCUUGUCCCUUGAUGCCAGCGAGAUGCUCCUUGACCCUCGUGAUACCGCCGCCUUUGAACAUUUUGCGACAGUAGAGGCACCUCAUCUGGAGCCGGUCGCCGUAUUUGUAGAUUUCACAGUGCUUCCACGCAUUGUCUUGCUUCUGAGGUGUAAGAGCUACAGGUUCCAACUCCGGCUCCAUUUUGGUUAAGCCUGAGUUUCAUCGGAAGAAGAAAGCAAAAGGCAGAGACUUUGUUAAUGGGUAAUGAAAGAUUAAAGCUUUUUCGGGAAUUAAAAAUAAAAAAAACGUAACGAAGAUAACAAAGAUCCUAUCACAACCCUGAUGAAUAUUUCAAGAAAUCAAAAGACGAAUUCUAAAACCUCUUCCCCAUGCAACACCGGCCAGAUAACAGAAUUUGGAUUAAGACAAAAACCGAUGUAAGAAGAAGGAACAAAACGAACCUUUUUUUUUGGUUUGCAGGUUGUGGCCGGUUACGGAGAAUCGGUUUCGGGAAAAAGAGGGGAGAUUCCGGUACAAUUAAGUCGGUUCUGGAGAAUAGGAAGGUGGAAUGAGGAGGAGAAGACGAAACCGGAGAGAAUCGGAGGAGGAGAUGCAAUGUCUGGGGAAAUUAGAGCCGGGCCGUUUAGGGUUCGAAGGGGAAAAAAUAGGUUUGGCAGCUUUUCUGGUUUACGAUGAGACGAGAUGUCCUUUAUACAAUACAUCUACCAAACUCUUUUAUUUUUUGCUUAAGUUUGUUUUCCGUUUCUUUUUUUUUUCUAUUAAUUCCUAAAUUACCAAAACGCCGUCGUUUUGUUUUUAGGGUAUUUUUCUUGCUAAACGACGUCGUUUGUCUUGUUCUUCGACUUGGAUCGGAACCUCGUCUUCGUUGUUUGUCUCUGAUCUCGUUGCUUCUCCAACGUAGAACAGUGUUGAAGCUGAAGUUUUUGUUUACUUAGAUCGGAGAAACGUCUUCUUGUCUGAAAAAGUAAAUCAAAGUUUGAUAUACUUUAUAGACACUUUUUCUUGCUUUCGUUGAGGCAUUUCGUCGAACACUUAGACGACGCUGAGACGAGAUGUCCUUUAUACCAUCUACCAAACUCUUUUAUUUUUGCUAAAGUUUGUUUUCCGUUUCUUUUUUUUUCUAUUAAUUCCUAAAUUGCGAAAACGCCGUCGUUUUAUUUUUAGGGUAUUUUUCUUGCUAAACGACAUCGUUUGUCUUCUUCUUCGACUUGGAUCGGAAACUCGUACUCGUCUUAGUUUUCUCUGAUCUCGUUGCUUCUCCAACGUAGAACAGUGUUGAAGAUGAGGUUUUUGUGUACUUAGAUCUCCAAUAUACUUUCUGUCGGAGAACUUCUUCUUGCCCUGAAAAAGUAAUAAAAAUUUGAUAUACUUAAAUCCAAUUUCGUCGAACACUUAGACGUCGCUCUCGUUUUUGUCUCCAGGAUCGUUAUUGUUGCCACAAUCGAAGCCUUGAAAUGGAAAAGCUUAUUGAGAACCAUCAGUUUGCGACGCAUGCUAUCGCCGCAUCGGCCUCUGUCUCGCUAGGAACUGCGCUCGCUUACCCUCUAGAUACCAUCAAAACCAUUAUCCAGGUUUCUUUCUUCUUCUUCUUAGCCAACUUUUUCAUCUAUCGCUUUGAACUCUCCGGGGGGGAUUGAUGUCUGCAAUUGAAAAUGCAGGUUGGUUCAGGACCCAGUAAGAAACUAAGCCCAUCUCAAGUCGUCAACAGAGUUUUCCGCUUCUCUGGCUAUUCAGGUUUCGCAAAAGUUAUUCUUUUGAAUGUUGCUUCAGGCAAAAAUGAUGUAUUGUUUGAUUGGUUCCGUCUUUUUGAACACAAAUGCAGGUUUGUACAGUGGUCUUGGAUGGUUAACACUUGGAAGAAUCUCAGGUGUUGGUGCAAGGUUCGGUGUCUAUGAGAUUCUCACGGCUUUUUAUAAAGGUAUUACGCAGAUCCAUGUCUCUUUUAAUGCUUAAUGUGUAUGAUUCAAGUGUAGGUUUUGCAUCUUGAACUUCUGUCAAGAACGCAGUCUGUUAAAGAUCCAUCUCUCUUUCUGCAUUUGUUCAUAGAGUCAACUGAUUUCAGGAAGACUGUCUUUUCAGGACAGUAAACCAAAAAGUUAAGGACUUUAAGGCCCUUAUGAUCAGAGCUCAACUCCUCGACCAGAACGGAACAGCCUGUCCUCUUCCACAUCGCUUUGCAAUCUUCAACUUCUCUAGUUGUUUCCUCUACACAACUCUUCAGUAUCCAACCUCGAAGGUCAUCGUGCGUUGGUGCAGACACUCCGUAUCCUCCAGAGGCAAUGGCAUCGAUCAUCGGCUGGAGAUUAGCAGAGUUCACCGCAUCGAAAUCAGCUCCGAUACCAAACAGAAACCGUCCAACCGCCAUGUGAACGGCGUUCUCCCUAUCUUUAGAAGCUGGGUGCACAAUGUUCUUCACGCUGCUAAUCGCCACGGGGACCAAAUUGGUGUCCAUGUCUGUACCAAUCAAGCCAUUGUUGUUGCUCGAACUGCCAUUCUCUAAAAAAGCAGCCUUCUUUCUCCUGUAGGGCCUCUGCUUCGUUCUGCCCUCGUUUUGCACGACUACAUCAGUACUCUCCGGCGAGGUGAAACCGUUGUUGGCAUCAGACUGAACCACCAUCAUCAUCGGCUCAGCUUCACAAGGAGGCAAAGCAGGCAAAGACUCAGGCUCAGCUGAGGUGGAAUGGCGUCUCUUCCUCUGACGUCUCACGGUUCCUUCGAUGCACUGCCGCAAGAAGAGCCUAACAUCUUCCGGGACUUGGUCGCAGAUCACGCCUUGUCCCUUGAUGCCAGCGAGAUGCUCCUUGACCCUCGUGAUACCGCCGCCUUUGAACAUUUUGCGACAGUAGAGGCACCUCAUCUGGAGCCGGUCGCCGUAUUUGUAGAUUUCACAGUGCUUCCACGCAUUGUCUUGCUUCUGAGGUGUAAGAGCUACAGGUUCCAACUCCGGCUCCAUUUUGGUUAAGCCUGAGUUUCAUCGGAAGAAGAAAGCAAAAGGCAGAGACUUUGUUAAUGGGUAAUGAAAGAUUAAAGCUUUUUCGGGAAUUAAAAAUAAAAAAAACGUAACGAAGAUAACAAAGAUCCUAUCACAACCCUGAUGAAUAUUUCAAGAAAUCAAAAGACGAAUUCUAAAACCUCUUCCC